GCUGGAGUGGCAGAUAAAUGCAGUUGGUUUAAGCCCUUCUCAUGGGCCUACGGGCCCCUCUAGCU
rnacentral:tRNA from 1 species